GACCGCCGCGAUGCGCAGCGGAGCAUCCCGGAGAGUCGCGGGAAUGCCCCGGGCAGGGCAGCGGGAAUGGAGCUGGCUCCUAGAAAGGCUGAAUGCUUGGAGUCAGAAAAUUCCCUGCUGUCACAUCGUCCCUUGCCUUGGAGCUGGGCUCAGGCUUGCAGUGAUUCCUGUUGCACACCCUUCCCGUCCCAGGCACGUCUAGGCAUCAUCACUCUGGGCUGAAUCAGACCUGUCUGAGCAUUCACCCUCCUGUCACAGAAGAAGCAAAGGAUGCAGCAAGGC